rnacentral:tRNA from 1 species
AGCAGUGUGGCUUAGUGGGUAGAGCAUGAGCCUGGGAGUCAGAAGGUCAUGGGUUCUAAUCCCAGCUCUGCCA